AACGAACGCUGGCGGCGCGUCUUAAGCAUGCAAGUCGAACGGCAAGAGAGAAGCUUGCUUCUCUCCUAGAGUGGCGGACUGGUGAGGAACACGUGGGUAAUCUACCCUUAAGAUGGGGAUAGCUGCUAGAAAUAGCAGGUAAUACCGAAUACACUCAGUUUUUCAUAAGAAGGAUUGAGGAAAGGAAGCUACGGCUUCGCUUGAGGAUGAGCUUGCGUCCCAUUAGCUUGUUGGUGAGGUAACGGCCCACCAAGGCGACGAUGGGUAUCCGGCCUGAGAGGGUGAUCGGACACAUUGGGACUGAGAUACGGCCCAAACUCCUACGGGAGGCAGCAGCUAAGAAUAUUCCGCAAUGGACGAAAGUCUGACGGAGCGACGCCGCGUGGAUGAAGAAGGCUGAAAAGUUGUAAAAUCCUUUUGUUGAUGAAGAAUAAGGGUGAGAGGGAAUGUUCAUGAUGACGGUAUCCGAAUAAGCCCCG
rnacentral:rRNA from 1 species